rnacentral:pre_miRNA from 1 species
GGAAUAUAAGAAUCCGCCUCUUAACUUUUAACUAAAAAAACUAAGAACCGGUUCUUAAAUAAGAGUUUUAAGAACCGGUUCUUAACUUUUUUAGUUAAAAGUUAAGAGACGGGUUCUUAUAUUCC